rnacentral:rRNA from 1 species
ACACGACUACAUUAGAUACCCGCGUAGUCCUAGCCGUAAACGAUACUCGCUAGGUGUCGGCCACGGUGCGACCGUUGUCGGUGCCGUAGGGAAGCCGUGAAGCGAGCCACCUGGGAAGUACAGCCGCAAGGCUGAAACUUAAAGGAAUUGGCGGGGGAGCACAACAACGGGUGGAGCUUGCGGUUUAAUUGGAUUCAACGCCGGAAAUCUUACCGGGACCGACAGCAACAUGAAGGCCAAGCUGAAGACUUUGCCGGAUUAGCUG